GCAGUAGCCGCGGUAAUACGUAGGUGGCAAGCGUUGUCCGGAAUUAUUGGGCGUAAAGGGCUCGCAAGCGGUUUCUUAAGUCUGAUGUGAAAGCCCCCGGCUCAACCGGGGAGGGUCAUUGGAAACUGGGAAACUUGAGUGCAGAAGAGGAGAGUGGAAUUCCACGUGUAGCGGUGAAAUGCGUAGAGAUGUGGAGGAAUACCAGUGGCGAAGGCGACUCUCUGGUCUGUAACUGACGCUGAGGAGCGAAAGCGUGGGGAGCGAACAGGAUUAGAUACCCGUGUAGUCCCUGUCUCUUAUAC
rnacentral:rRNA from 1 species